rnacentral:rRNA from 1 species
UACGGAGGGGGCUAGCGUUGUUCGGAAUUACUGGGCGUAAAGCGCACGUAGGCGGCUUUGUAAGUUAGAGGUGAAAGCCCGGGGCUCAACUCCGGAAUUGCCUUUAAGACUGCAUCGCUAGAAUUGUGGAGAGGUAAGUGGAAUUCCGAGUGUAGAGGUGAAAUUCGUAGAUAUUGGGAAGAACACCGAUGGCGAAGGCAGCUCUCUGGACCGUUACUGACGCUGAGGCGCGAAAGCGUGGGGAGCAAACAGG